ACCAGAGAGCGGAGGAGGGCAGUUGGGGUGGGGUGGGUUAUUUUACAGGGUGCCCGGAGAAGGCCGUCUAUGAGCCGGCUUUGGACCAGAGACCCAGAUGUGACGGGAGCCCGCGCACACCUGGGCGGACCCCUGAGGACGGCGGGAGGCAGGGGAGCCGCGUCGGAGGUUCUGCAAAUGUGGAUGCCCUGCAGUGUAUUCAGCCAGUUCCCUUCCGAGAGACACGCUUCUCCGACGGAGCGUUUGUCGGAAUUCUGGAUUUUUGUCACCUUGAUAGAUAAGAAAUAAUUCAUGAAGCAAGAACUCUGGAUAUGAAAACUGAAAUCUCCUUUCCGUUUCAGCCUCCUCCCUGGUUUUUAUUUUGUUUUCUUCUCCAUUUCCUACCCUCUCUAAUGUCUGCCCAGCCUCUCAGACCCCCAAGCUAAAGCGUUGAGGAUACGUCUUAGAUUAUGUGCAAAUAUCCUUCAUAUCCUGUCUGUGUGUAUGUUUUUAGUUUAUGUGCAUGGUACUGGGCUGUAGAUCUUGCACCUCUUGCUCAGGACAGUUUUAAUACUGAUCCACGUACAUGACAUCUAAGCAACGCAGGUGUUUUGCAGGCACCUGCCCCCACGCUGGCUCAUCUAUGCCCCUGUGAUAGGCCACAAGGUGCCUCUAACUCCCAAGUAAAGCUGAAACAAGCACCCUCCUAGCUAUCCUUUCACAGUCACGAGGAAUGGCCUGGGGUGGGCAUGCUGUGUCAUGGGACGUGUGUGUAUUUCAUAGAACCAAGUGCUGACAGAUUGCACUCCGGAGACUGCUUCCUCAGUUUACACCCCCCCAGCUGUCACACGCUCCCCCCUUGCCUUGCCAACCUUUGUACAUACACAGGGGUAAAGUGACAGGUGAUUUUUAUUUUAAUUCACUUGGUCUGAACAGUACUCAAAAUAGCUUUAUAAACAAACAUUUUCAAGAGAAAAAUGCUGCACAAGCAAAGGGAAAUUUUUUCUGCAUUGAAUACUUGCAUCCAUGACUAUCCUGUAAAAAGGCGAGGCAUUUAGACCUUUCAUAAGUUAUGUGAUAGUAAAGCUACAGUUCUUUACAGAUAGUAAAGUUUGCAGGUAGUCAAGUUUACAGAUAGUAGUUACAGUUCUUUGACUGCGGUAGAUUUCAUCCCCGCAUUUGAAGCCUUGUUUGCAAUUUUGGAAUCAGAAAAGAUAUUCAAGCAAGUAUUUGAAUAGAAAGACCAAUGAAGAAAUACAGUGUGGGAAUCUGUUUUAAGUUCUGCUAUGAUUAUUUCAUCUUCUUCUAAAUCUCUCUUCUUAAAAAAUCUGUUAUUUUAUCAGUUUCUUUGGUAAGAGUUGAUGAAACCAUCCAUUUCCUGUUCCUAGCUGUCAGCAUACGCUGCUUCAUAUCUGACUUUCCAUCGUUCCCGCAUGCAAUGAACAAUUGCAUGUUGCACAAAGAGCUCCAAAAACUUUCAAUUGCUCUUUGUUGCUACUAAGAUUAACUUAAAUUUACAAUAUUGAAAAAUCAUGCUUCAACCUUAAUGUUGUGACUUUUAACAUGGUUACUUCCUGAUAGACCACCAGUGGACAAAAGUGUAUUUGUUACUUCAUUGUCUUAGACACAUUUUUAAAAAUUGGACUGUAAUUGCUUUACAAUAUUGUGUUAGUUUCUGCUGUACAACAAAGUGAAUCAGCUGUAUGUAUACAAAUAUCCCCUCCCUCUUGGACCUCCCUUCCACUCUCCCCCAUCCCGCCCAUCUGAGCUGAGCUCCCUGUGCUGUACAGCAGGUUCCCAGCAGCUAUCUAUUUUACACAUGGUAGUGUAUUUAGGUCAGUCCUAAUCUCCCACUUCUUCCCAUGUUCCCCUUCCCCCUCUGUCCACAUGUCAGUUCUCUACGUCUGCUUCUCUACUCCUGCCCUGGAAAUAGGUUCAUCUGUACCAUUUUUCUAGAUUCCACACAUAUUAGAUACAUUUUUUUGAAUGAAAUAUUAAAAAAAAUUUUUUUAAUGUAUUUUUAUUUUUUGGCUGCAUUGGGUCUUUGUUGUUGUGCACGGGCUUUCUCUAGUUGUGGCGAGCAGGGGCUACUCUUCAUUGCGGUGCUCGGGCUUCUCCUUGUGGUGGUUUCUCUUGUGGAGCAUGAGCUCUAGGUACGCAGGCUUCAGGAGCUGCAGCACGUGGGCUCAGUAGUUGUGGCUUGUGGGCUUAGUUGCUCCACGGCAUGUGGGAUUUUCCUGGACCAGGGAUCAAACCCGUGUCCCUUGCAUUGGCAGAUGGAUUCUUAACUACUGUGCCACCCGGGGAAGUCCCUAGAUACAUUUUUGAUUUAUCAUUUCAUAGAGAAAAUCGGGGGCACACAAACUGAUAUAUGAGGAUUUCUAGGUUAAUAUGUGAGAGUUCAGGGUAGUAUUGAUACAGUUCUUUCUUCUGUGUCUUAUCCUGUGGCCUCCUCAGGACCUAUGAAGGGAACACAGAAGGGAUGCUGCUGUGCUCUUGGCAGCCUUGUCCCAGGUAAAUUGAGGUUUUCCUCCCCUUUCCUAAAAGUCAUCUGUCUUUGCUAUAGGCAAGCUUGUUAUCUUCCUUGGCCUGGUGCUUCACAGCUCUUCUAAAACCCGCCAUAGAACCCAGUUCCUCUUUCCCAGAAAGGGGGCACCAGAAGACCCAGUGUGGCAGGUGGUGAAAUUUCUCCUCUGUGAGCUCCUGAGGCCCGGGCAUCCAUAUAUCCUCAUGAGGGUUGGAGUGUUCCUUGUCUCUUCUCCACAUGACAUUUACACAAAUGGUCAGUUCAUAUUUUCUCACCACACUGUUGGAAACACGUUGGGCCCACAGAAUGUUCAAGAGAAAUAAAGAACUACAUCUUUCUUCCAGGAACUCAUAAUUUCACAUGGGGACUGUCUCAAUGACAGUGAAAAUGAAUCAUUGCUUACUGUAUGCCAGGCUGUGUGCUGAGUCCUUUAUGUUAAUUUUCUUAAGUAAAUUCUCUUCCACAAACUAUAGUCAAGCGGACUGGGCUGCUGCUUUUAUCCUGGGAACAUUCUAGGGUCUGGGGACACAGGAGCCAGUCUGUCACAGGCAAGGAAACUUUGCUGAUAUGAGGAAAAACUAGCCAAAUUUUUUUUUCAAUACAUACAUAUCUUUUUUUUUUUUUUUUUUAACGAUAAACUGAGUAUAUUUAGAGUGUACAGUUUGGUAUCCCAAUCUCCCUAUUCAUUCCCCCCCAACCCUCCCCACUUUCCUCACUUGGUGUCCAUAUGUUUGCUUUCUAUAUCCGUGUCUCUAUUUCUGCCUUGCAAACCGGUUGAUUUGUACCAUUUUUCUAUAUUCCGCAUAUAUGUGUUAAUAUACAAUAUUUGUUUUUCUCUUUCUGACUCACUUCACUCUGUGUGACAGUCUCUAGGUCCAUCCAUGUCUCUGCAAAUGUCCCAGUUUCAUUCCUUUUAUAGCUGAGUAAUAGUCCAUUGUGUAUAUGUACCACAUCUUCUUUAUCCAUUCAUCUGUCGAUGGACA